CCUACGGGGGGCUGCAGUGAGGAAUAUUGGUCAAUGGACGAGAGUCUGAACCAGCCAAGUAGCGUGCAGGAUGACUGCCCUAUGGGUUGUAAACUUCUUUUAUACGGGAAUAAAAUGCUUCACGUGUGGUGUUUUGUAUGUACCAUAUGAAUAAGGACCGGCUAACUCCGUGCCAGCAGCCGCGGUAAUACGGAGGAUCCGAGCGUUAUCCGGAUUUAUUGGGUUUAAAGGGAGCGUAGGUGGCUUGUUAAGUCAGUUGUGAAAUUUCGCGGCUCAACCGUAGAAUUGCGGUUGGAACUGGCAGUCUUGAGUGCGGUAGAGGUGGGCGGAAUUCGUGGUGUAGCGGUGAAAUGCGUAGAUAUUAGGAAGAACUCCGGUGGCGAAGGCAGCUUUCGGGAGUGAAACUGACGCUGAGGCACGAAGGCGUGGGGAGCGAACAGGAUUAGAUACCCGUGUAGUC
rnacentral:rRNA from 1 species